rnacentral:tRNA from 1 species
GGGCCUUUAGCUCAUUCGGUUAGAGCAUCUGACUCAUAAUCAGAGGGUACUAGGUUCGAUCCCUAGAAGGCCCA